CAGCAGCCACGGUAGUACAGAGGGUGCAAGCGUUAAUCGGAUUUACUGGGCGUAAAGGGCGCGUAGGUGGUUAUGUAAGUGAGAUGUGAAAUCCCCGGGCUCAACCUGGGAACUGCAUCUUAUACUGCGUAGCUGGAGUGCAGUAGAGGGUAGUGGAAUUUCCGGUGUAGCGGUGAAAUGCGUAGAUAUCGGAAGGAACACCAGUGGCGAAGGCGGCUACCUGGACUGACACUGACACUGAGGCGCGAAAGCGUGGGGAGCAAACAGGAUUAGAUACCCCCGUAGUCCCUGUCUCUUAUAC
rnacentral:rRNA from 1 species